rnacentral:rRNA from 1 species
UACAGAGGGUGCAAGCGUUAAUCGGAAUUACUGGGCGUAAAGCGCGCGUAGGCGGCUUCGCAAGUCGGGUGUGAAAUCCCCAAGCUCAACUUGGGAACUGCAUUCGAGACUGCGUUGCUAGAGUAUGGGAGAGGGAAGUGGAAUUUCAGGUGUAGCGGUGAAAUGCGUAGAUAUCUGAAGGAACAUCAGUGGCGAAAGCGACUUCCUGGACCAAUACUGACGCUCAUGUGCGAAAGCGUGGGGAGCAAACAGG